AACGAACGCUGGCGGCAUGCCUAACACAUGCAAGUCGAACGAGACCUUCGGGUCUAGUGGCGCACGGGUGGGUAACGCGUGGGAACCUGCCCUUAGGUUCGGAAUAACUCCCCGAAAGGGGUGCUAAUACCGGAUAAUGUCUUCGGACCAAAGAUUUAUCGCCUUUGGAUGGGCCCGCGUUGGAUUAGCUAGUUGGUAGGGUAAAAGCCUACCAAGGCGACGAUCCAUAGCUGGUCUGAGAGGAUGAACAGCCACACUGGGACUGAGACACGGCCCAGACUCCUACGGGAGGCAGCAGUGGGGAAUAUCGGACAAUGGGCGAAAGCCUGAUCCAGCAAUGCCGCGUGAGUGAUGAAGGCCUUAGGGUUGUAAAGCUCUUUUACCCGGGAUGAUAAUGACGGUACCGGGAGAAGAAGCUCCGGCUAACUCCGUG
rnacentral:rRNA from 1 species